AUAAGAAACAGAAUGAAAGCAAACGAAACAGAUAAGAAACAGGGGAGAAAGAAAGAAAGAAAAAGAAAAAGGAAAAUUUGGGUUUCAAGGCUCAAAGUUUAAUUUGUCAAUGUGGUACCAGAAAUCUUGGCUAAGAAAGGACAAGACAAAAUCAACGGGAGUUAGCUCGAAAAUUACGGUUUGUAUUUCUAUAAUCCGAACCUAAUACUUAAUUGUUGAAUUUAUUUCUUAAUAUGUAUAUUAAGUGUUUUGAAGUAAGAAUUGUUGUGUUUUGCAAAUGAAAUGGAUUGAUAUAGUAUGUGAUGAAUUUAUUGAAUUUAUAUUGAUUGAAUUGGCGUAUAUAUAUAUAGAUAUAUAUAUUGAAUAUUGAAUAUAUAUUGAUUAUUUGAAUUGAAUUGAAAUAUAAAUUGUUUGAAAAUUUUAAAUAUGAGAUUUGUGAUAUUUGGAUAUUUGUUAUUGAAAAGUGAAUUGAAUUGUAUUGAAUUAUGAAUUUAUGUGAUUAAUUAAAAUGUGUAUUGAUUGAAAAAAAA